rnacentral:rRNA from 1 species
AUUGAACGCUGGCGGCAUGCCUUACACAUGCAAGUCGAACGGUAACGGGCCUUCGGGUGCCGACGAGUGGCGAACGGGUGAGUAAUACAUCGGAACGUGCCCGAUCGUGGGGGAUAACGAGGCGAAAGCUUUGCUAAUACCGCAUACGAUCUACGGAUGAAAGCAGGGGACCGCAAGGCCUUGCGCGGACGGAGCGGCCGAUGGCAGAUUAGGUAGUUGGUGGGAUAAAAGCUUACCAAGCCGACGAUCUGUAGCUGGUCUGAGAGGAUGAUCGGCCACACUGGGACUGAGACACGGCCCAGACUCCUACGGGAGGCAGCAGUGGGGAAUUUUGGACAAUGGGCGCAAGCCUGAUCCAGCCAUGCCGCGUGCAGGAUGAAGGCCUUCGGGUUGUAAACUGCUUUUGUACGGAACGAAAAGCCUUCUUUUAAUACAGGAGGGUCAUGACGGUACCGGAAGAAUAAGCACCGGCUAACUACGUG